rnacentral:rRNA from 1 species
AGUGAACGCUGGCGGCAGGCCUAACACAUGCAAGUCGAACGGCAGCACAGUAAGAGCUUGCUCUUACGGGUGGCGAGUGGCGGACGGGUGAGGAAUACAUCGGAAUCUACUUUUUCGGGGGGGAUAACGUAGGGAAACUGACGCUAAUACCGCAUACGACCUACGGGUGAAUGCAGGGGAUCUUCGGACCUUGCGCGAUUGAAUGAGCCGAUGUCGGAUUAGCUAGUUGGCGGGGUAAAGGCCCACCAAGGCGACGAUCCGUAGCUGGUCUGAGAGGAUGAUCAGCCACACUGGAACUGAGACACGGUCCAGACUCCUACGGGAGGCAGCAGUGGGGAAUAUUGGACAAUGGGCGCAAGCCUGAUCCAGCCAUACCGCGUGGGUGAAGAAGGCCUUCGGGUUGUAAAGCCCUUUUGUUGGGAAAGAAAAGCAGCAGGUUAAUACCCCGCUGUUCUGACGGUACCCAAAGAAUAAGCACCGGCUAACUUCGUG